AUUCGUGUUUCUUUUAGAGUAAUUGUAACAUUUCCGCAAGGUUGCAUUUGGAAAUUUGAAAGACGCCGAAGGUCGAUUAAUAUUUACUUUAUAGAUGCAAGACGAGUGACAGCAAGUUUGAGGAAUGAAGAGCAAAAGGAUAUAGCAGUCUUUAUAUAAAAUAGUUCAUGAAUCCAGUUGGAAAGAAGAGCUUUUCAGUUAAAAGUAUUUCCUGGGAAUUAACAGGAACUUCUAUAAAUGUUUUUCUGGAAUAGUUAUUCAAAAGGGCAGUGAAGUGAAGGAUUACAUUAGACAAAUAUUGCUGAAGUGGCCACGGUAAAAUCAGACCCAAGAGAUGUACAAAAUUUCUACAAUACAUGUUACA